CUGGUUGUAGAGUUUCUACAUGUAAAUUAAUUCUUCAACAGAGAGUGUUUGUCUCUUUUUUAACCCUGCUCCACUAUCAACCAUCCUUCAGAAUACUUUCUGUCCUCGCUGGUUGUAAAUAGACUUCAGUUAGAGAAGCCUCUAACUCCUGCCAUAACGUGGACAUUUUGAAUCAGACACAGCGAGGUUCUGGCAGCCAGGAGAGUGCAGUGGAACGCAGACCAGGACCCUGUGCAGUAGUGUGUAUGUGUGUGCGUGUGUGUUUAGUUGUGCGUCCGUCCAUGGUAGUGCUAGUGCUCUCUGUGCAGUGCCUCCCUCCUCCCUGCCCUCUCUCUCUCUCUCUCGCUCCCUCUCUGAUGUAGUUUGUCCUGUGACACGGAGUGUGUUAAGGUGCAGGAUGACUGUUCGCUGAAGCUGGCAGAUGCCCUCUCUCUCUCUCUCUCUCUCUCUCUCUCUCUCUCACUCUCUCCCUCUCUCUAUGACGUUCUCUCUGUCCGUGUCUCCUCUGCUUCUCCAUUACAACUCUUCAUUUUAAUCUUCCACCACGUAUAGAUUUCCACUUCCUUUUGCUCGAUUGUUCAUUUACUCCCCCAUUCGGCUGGUAAUGUGUACACCAGCAGAGUGUAAUUUCCCAGUAAUCCAUGCUUCCUCAUCUAUCUGUAAUUCUUUGUCCAUUAGCGACUCCCAUCCGUCACUGUAGAGCACCUUGUUUUUCCUGCAAACCUCUGUGGACCGGAGAAGGAUUUAGCACACACAAAAAAAGAAAGAAGAUCCAUGCAUCUCAUGCCCGCUCAUACCUUUAUGUUUUUCUUCUUUCAUCUUUCUCUCUGUUCUGUCUCUGAAGAGAAGAGCAGCUGCCGGCUCAGCUCACAGAAACACAAAGCAGCCAUAUUCAGAUGUCAAGCACAGACUUGUGACUCAAAUACCUGUUGUGGUGGCAUCAUUGCUGCCAUGUUUGUAGCAAGAGCAAGAGAAUAGCCUUAAAGAUUGGACCAACUACACCUAAAAGUAGGGGGAUAUGUGCAUUUUGUAGUGGACAAUGAUUACCUUCCCUUCUCCCACACCAGAUUUAUUAUGCAGUAUUCUGAUGUGUUGCUUGGUUGCUCUGUACAUAUCUGUGUAGUACUUCUGUUGAUGUCCCUGUGUUAGUAUCGUAACGGGUUCUUACUGGGCGACCUACACAGACGUCCUCUCCCUCCUGUCUCGCCUCAUUUCCUCAAAAAAACUCUAGACAUUCCAUCUGAAUCUCAACUUGAGAAGCAUUUUAGAGACGAUUCGAUUUUCAUGUAGCCUGGGAGAGAUCGGACUGAACCACAGACAAUUCUGCCGGAGCCAUCAUAAUAACCAGGAAGUUUUGUCUGCAUUCCGAGUCAUAAUAAUAGACUCAGUGUAAAGACCCGUACACGUGCCUCUCUGCUCCUCCAAACGCCACCCCCAUACGCCUACUUCACCUGGCUCCAAGAGGCCAGCACCACCUGAUAAAAGGAGCCUGUGACUUCCAGCAGGGGAGGUAGGUGAGGAGGUGGAAGAGCCCUAGGAGGCAGUAGAGAGGCAGCAUGUGGUCUCAUCCUGGGUCAGGAGGGGAGGGAGCGAGGGCGUCUUGAGGUCAAACCUGGUAGCACUUUGGUUUUGCGUUCCAUGUUUUUAAAGCCUCUCCUGUUUUUUGGCCGAGCAGACUGUGAUCUUACUGGUUGAUUUUCUCGUUCUCCUCCGCCCAUCAGUGUUACAGAGUGUGUUGGGUGGACGGAGCCUUGGAGCUGAGCUCUGAUAUUGUUCCAUAUUAA